rnacentral:lncRNA from 1 species
CUUUUUUAAGAUAUAUUUCACUACCUUUUAGAAAACCAUAGUAAGUUUAUAAAAAGUAUUUCAGUAGUUAUAUAAAAAAUGUAACAAACAUACGGUAAUCAACAAUAGCUUUGCACUUUUAGGACAAAAUAUAUGACACAAAUGUAAAUUAUUCAGAGACCUAACUCAAGACUUCGUAUUUGUUAAUGUUUUGAUUAACAAACUUGCACAAAAUGGACUUAUUGAUGACCAAUUAUUUUUUAAUUAGAAAAAAGGAAUCAUCAUAUUGAUUCAUUAUGAUCGUAUGCAAAAGUGAAGCUUUUAGUAUUUGUAUGUAAAUAUUCAUCGAUUAUAGUCUCAAGAGAAACAAAAAGAGUACCAACAUGACUAGACAUAUUGUCAAUUAUGUAAAUUUAUGCUGCUUAUGAAUUGUUUCAUGUCAGAUCAAUUUUAUUCUGUGCUUUGGAAAAUGAAAAAUAUAAUUUAUGAUUAUGAAAUUUACACUCAGAAUAAAACGACUUAAACCAAAAAUAUGACAUUUAAAUAAUAUAUGACUUGAAAGUUAAGUACAUAUAGUUUUAUUUUUAAUUUGGCAAAAUAUAAGUCCACACCAAUGUAAUUAAAACAGGUUUAACUUGUAACUGUUUAACAUUCAGAUGUUUUGACAAUCAAAUACCUACUUAUUUUAUCCCUGCAUAUUUAAAAUUCACUAUUUUUUAAAUAUAGCUGAUAUAUAUUCAGCCGUGCAAUAAGUGGGCCUAAAAUUUGUUCGAUAAUUUUCAAAAUUUCAUCGCAGAAUGUUCAUAUUGUCACCCUACACAAGAAGUAGACUGAAUAAUAGUCAGGGGCACUUAUAAAUUAUGCAACACUUCUAUUUGCCCAAUGGAUUUUGAUUGUUCAAACCGAAGGAUGCGGAUAUUGUGACGCGUGAUAAGCCCAUGAAGUGGGAGUUGUUGCAUAAUUGCAAAUCAGCUUUGGGGUGUGGAUAUUAUCUGGUUGGUAAAAUUCAAUUUUUGAAUUUGAAAUUUUCUACCAUGCACAAGGGGGUUUUGCAACAGCAGAAGUCCCCCCCCCAGGGGAAUUUUUGAAACAUUUGUUUGGGCAAGCCAAUUGGGUUGGAAUUCAAGACCGGCAAAAUUUGAACUCAGGGGCCCUUAUUGUGAUGAGUCACCUUACAAACACCUUAAGAAUUGUGGCCACCGAUGCCUCUCUACCAUCAAACUUAUAAUAAGAUAUUUCAUAAUCUUCAGUGCCCAACAAAAACUUCAUAGACAAGAGGAAAUAACACAGAUCAACCAUCAAGGAAUGCUUCGACCUACAUGCGUUUUGACUCAUCGGGACCUUCGCCACCAAAGGAAACUGAGGACCUGGUACAAUAUUGCAGGCACAAGAAUAUACAAUUAAUCAUUAGAACUGAUGCUAACUCACACAGUGAGGAAUGGAACAGCACAAACACCACAAAAGAGUGACGUGCCUAUCAGAAAAGAAAAUCCUGUGAAUCAGCACUACACCCAUUAACAAUACAAAUAGACGAUUCACUAGUCAACCAAGAAAUAGCAUUGCGAAUCUUCUUGGACAAUAUUCCUUUUGAAGCAAUGGUUAUAUCAAACACUGAGGAACAGACAAAACCUGCUGCAGAUGGAUAGAAUCAAUGCUAAAAAAAAGAAAAGUGCAGGGCUCCAUGUUCCACGAAAAAGUAGAAGCAGCAGGGGCGAGAGGGUGUUUGCAAGGAGGAAUUCUCUCUCCUCGGCUGUGCGAUGUGGUGGUGGAUGAUCUCAUAUGCAAACUAAAUGAAAGCGGAAUCUAUGCCCAAGGCUAUGCAGAUAAUACUGGCAUGCUAGUCAGGGGAAAUUUCGACACAACAUUAAAAGAGCUUACCCAAAGUGCACUAAACACGGUGGAACAUGGUGUUCACAAAGGGAACGUAAAGCAAGCCUCUCAAAAACCAUCCUAAUUGCUUUCACCACGAAAAGAAAUAUAAGGAAAGACAAGGUUUACGUUUCUGUUAUGAAAUGCUACAAUUAAAAUAGUUGAAUUUAAGCCGAAGUUAAAUACCUAGGAAUAAUCUUUGUUAAGAAGAUAGCCUGAAACCCACACCUGCAGCAUACUACUGUAAAAAGUAAAAUAUUGGUAAUGACCACAAGAAGAACUCUACGAAAAUCUUGAGGAUUAAAACCGAAAUGGCCUGUUGGCUAUGGCAGUAAUAAGACCCCAAAAUA